UGUCUGUCAAUGGAUGGAUGGAUAAAGAAAAUGUGGUAUUUCCAUACGAUGGAUUAUUAUUCAGUCAUAGAAGGGAAUGAAGCACUGAUACAUGAUACAACAUGGGUGAACCUUCAA